UAUUAUUCUCUUUUUAGCAUUUCAAAGGUCAUAUAAGGACAGCAAUGGCCCUACGUGGGCUGCUUAAGCUGGUUCCUAUGUAUAUACGUCAGUUGCCAUUUUACUUUUGCACCAAAAGUAUAAAACAAAAAAUAACUCUCAAAAUUCAAACCAUAUAAUAUUAGAUUCGCAAUCUCACUAUUGUCCUAACGGUUGUGGAAAACGUUUCUCGGGCAAAACCGUAAAAUACACAAUUGUUCAACAUUUAAAGUAUCAUUGCGGCGUGGAACCUAAAUUCAAAUGUCACAUGUGCGAUAAAAAAUUCUCAAGAAAAGAAUCAUUAAAACUACAUUUAGCCAACCGACAUGCAAUUAUAUUAAAGUAACAUUGUACCUUAAAAUGUCGAUGAUAUAGAACUCACUUGCUGAAAAGAGUGCAUUUGGCGGGUGUCCAUGAUCCUGCUUUUUGUCCGAAUUUGUGUGGUCGCUUUUAUGGCGGUCGCAACCGAAAAAUCACUCUUAGAAAUCACUUGAUGUUUGAGUGUGGCGUACAAAAGCAGUUCCAGUGUCAAUUUUGCCAAAAGAAGUUUGCCCGAAAGGAGACUUGGAAAGUACACUUGGUCAGUGUACACAAAUUCAUAGUCACAUAACCUACAAGUCUACAACAACCAUGUAUUCAACGACAAGCAUUAUGAUUAUAUCCAAACGAUAAUCGACAUGGCCGCCCUGAACGACCCUGCUUACUGUCCGAACAGAUGCGGUCGUUCGUACAAUGGACAGUAUAGGAAGAGAAAUUUGAGAAAACACUAUGUCUACGAGUGCGGUGUACCGCCUAAGUUUCGUUGUCCGUUGUGCUCAAAACAGUUUACUAGAAACAACGUCAUGACGGCUCAUAUGUUGUUCGUUCAUAAACGCAUGGUGCCACGAUAAAAAAAUGGACCUUAUGCAAUUAAUUGAUGUUUAUAGUAUUUUGUGUGAUUUUUCAAGUAAACGUCUCCAAACAAAAAUAAAACAUUACUCGCAGACGUUUUUUAUAAACACUAUGGUGUAUGCCUGUACUAAAAAAAUCAAUGUACAUAGAAUUUCACAAAUGAAAAUUGUACUUAAGUACGCGUCACUCUACAAUGCGAUGACUAUUGGUUUGUUUAGUCCAUAUUACCUACUCCAUUGUCAUAAUACAAUCCAGUCGAUAUUAUACUAAUAAAAUACGUCAUUUUCUCCGUUAACCGUCAUUUUAAUCUCCUUAUAUGGCAUAACGGCGAUCGAAUUAGUUUAAACGAAAUCUUGUAUUUUAUUUGCGUAAUCGCUUUUGCUUAAACAACACCAAAUGACAGUGUGUAAUGACAUACAGUAAAGUGUAGACUGUAUUCUAUACUAUUAGUAGUUUUUCCAUACACCGCAUCGUUCCAUAUUAUGCUAUAACGUAUUGUAUUGGCGUUUGUCAACACCUGUAGAGAACGCUACGCUGUAAGUUGUAACACUGAUGAUAUAGCGGGGAACCCUGCAAAAAUAACCCACGACGACUACGGGUUUCUCGCUGUAUUAUCAGCUCCGCCAAAGUGUAAUUAUUACUUUGCUGCAAAACGCCAAUAGGUAUACAUACGCCCUACUUCAUUUUUGAUUAUGGUUGUUCGUAGUGCAUUGCAUCAUGCGUAUGCGCCCUUUGAUAAAGGCGAUGUUCUUAUUAAAAUCCUUUUUGGACGUUUUUGCUUUUUUUUUUUUUGC